GACGAACCGUGUGAACGUUAUUCGGAAUCACUGGGCUUAAAGGGCGCGUAGGCGGGUCCGUAAGUCAGGGGUGAAAUCCCACGGCCCAACCGUGGAAGUGCCUCUGAUACUGCGGGCCUCGAGGGGGAUAGGGGCGUGCGGAACUCAGGGUGGAGCGGUGAAAUGCGUAGAUAUCUGGAGGAACACCGGUGGCGAAGGCGGCAUCCUGGACCAAUAUUGACGCUGAGGAGCGAAAGCCAGGGGAGCAAACGGG
rnacentral:rRNA from 1 species